rnacentral:rRNA from 1 species
GACGAACGCUGGCGGCGUGCUUAACACAUGCAAGUCGAACGGAAAGGCCCUGCUUUUGUGGGAUGCUCGAGUGGAGAACGGGUGAGUAACACGUGAGUAACCUGCCCUUGACUUUGGGAUAACUUCAGGAAACUGGGGCUAAUAGCGGAUAGGAGCUCCUGAUGCAGGGGGGGGGAUGGAAAGUUUCGGCGUUUGGGGAUGGACGCGCGGCUUUUCAGCUUGUUGGUGGGUUAGUGGCUAACCAAGGGUUUGACGGUUGGCCGGCCUGGGAGGGUGACCGGCCACAUUGGGCCUGAGAUACGCCCCGGACUCCUCCGGGAGGCAGCAGUGGGGAUUAUUGCACAUUGGGCGGAGGCCUGAUGCAGCAACGCCGCGUGCGGGAUGCCGCCUUUCGGGUUUUAAACCGUUUCCGCCGGUGCCGAGGUGUGUGUGACGGUACCUGGUAAAGAAGCACCGGCUAACUACGUG